AAGUUAAUUUUUUUAAAAAAAAAAAAGAUUUACCAUGCACUGUGAGUGAUUUUACUGGACUCAAACAGUGUUUCUCGCGCAAAAUUUCAUUUGAUCUCGUGAGAGUUGUUAUCUCUUGUGCAUUUGGGAGAGUUGUGGUUGGGUUAGUGGAUUCUGACUUUGUUUGUUGCUCUUGCAGGUCUCUCCGGUUGUUGUUGCUUCUUUGGCCUUGGGUGCCGUUGCGAUUUCGUCUGGAUGCAGCUAGAUAAGUAACUAGAACCCUUCUGGUUGGUUUUCUAUUUUGUGGGGCUUUGGAACUUUCACUUCUAUGGGUUUUGUGUGUGAUUGGCUUUUUUUUCCUUUUUUUUUUUUAUUGUCAAUGGUGCAUUUGAGUGCCGGGAGAGUUUGGGGUAUAAAAGAUUAUAUUUUUUUGGAUUAUCUCCCAUAUUUUGCAUUGCAUCAUCUCUCUUCUGUUAUGGUUGUCUUUUUUCCCUGGUUCUCUCAUUUGCUAUGGUUAUUCUGCUUGAACCUGUUUUUUGCCUCUGCUGCUUCUAGCUGGUGUUUUUUUCUUACAGGUUCUCUUUCUUUUAGGUGCUUUGUGUGGUUCUCCUGUGUCUGGUUGCCCUCUGCUGAUUUUCUUUCUGUUAUUGCUUCUUCUUUUUGGCUUUUUACGUCCGAAGAUGGUUCUUUGUUUUGUUGUACAUCCCAGGGUUUCUUGAGCAUUGUGCUGUUUCAUGCUUGCACCUUUGGUGUUUGUCAAAAGGCCUGAGAGAAGGUUUCUUAUCCCUCUCCCUCUCUCUUUUUUCCCAUGCACUGCUUCUAUGCUUUUUGUGUUGGCUUUCCACGGUGUUGCUAUUGGUUAGUGCCUUGGUUUGUGAUUUGGGAGGGUUAUAUGCUCAAGUUUUACCCAAUAUGGUGUGUAACUGGCUACGCCUGAAGAAAAAUGAAUCACGUUGCCACCAGAAUAAUCUAUGGACUAUUGCAGGGCAGUCCACGUUUUACAAAGGAUAGAGAGAGAUUUCCUCCAAACAACAUCCUUUUUAUGUUAUUUGGGGCAGGAUUGCUUUGGAUGAGCUGGACAUGUUUUAGUUAUAGUUAUAGGACUCAGUAAAUCUCAAUACUCAAGUCACUAAUUAGGUUAGGUGGUAACGAAGUUGAGUCUAGGAUCCUAAGUUUAGGUUCGGGGGUAUUUGGAAUUAGUGAAUGUUUGGAAGUAUGAUAA